rnacentral:rRNA from 1 species
CCUACGGGCGGCAGCAGUGAGGAAUAUUGGUCAAUGGACGCAAGUCUGAACCAGCCAUGCCGCGUGCAGGAAGACGGCUCUAUGAGUUGUAAACUGCUUUUGUACGAGGGUAAACGCAGAUACGCGUAUCUGUCUGAAAGUAUCGUACGAAUAAGGAUCGGCUAACUCCGUGCCAGCAGCCGCGGUAAUACGGAGGAUUCAAGCGUUAUCCGGAUUUAUUGGGUUUAAAGGGUGCGUAGGCGGUCGGAUAAGUUAGAUGUGAAAUCCCGAGGCUCAACUUCGGAAUUGCCUCUGAGACUGUCAGGCUAGAGUUUAGUUGCGGUAGGCGGAAUGUAUGGUGUAGCGGUGAAAUGCAUAGAGAUCAUACAGAACACCGAUCGCGAAGGCAGCUUACCAAACUACGACUGACGUUGAGGCACGAAAGCGUGGGGAGCAAACAGGAUUAGAUACCCUUGUAGUC